AGAAGUUUGUUUUAAGGUUUUAUUUUUUCCCUAGUUGCUUGCAACACACCAGUCCUUUCCCUGCUUUUCCUUUCUGCGUUUUCCCCAUGCUGCACCAGCAAUGAAUAAUUUACCAUUGCGGAGACAAAGAGAAGUGUCACUGGGCUCAUCCUUCAUAAGCUUGUCACAUGGACAAGAGGCAUCAGCGCCAUUAUUUGUGUGUGGCGGGAGUGGGAGGGGGGUGAGCAUGAAGGCACUGCAGAGCUAUUCCAGCUUCAUCAGGAAAUGGGGACAAGAGAGCAGGUUGUCUACUGUUGCCAGCCUGGUAGCACAGAAGAAACACAUUAAGACCAUGAUACAGAAAGAGUAUUCUCUAUGAAUCACCCUGAACCAACGGAUGACUCCUCCUACAGCAGGUAUUGAUGCCUUGGUGAUGUCUUGCUGUGUUUCUCCAUCCAAAUACACAAAGAAAAUACCAUCUUCCUGGACUUCCAGGGAUC